AGGGCACCACCAGGAGUGGAGCCUGCGGCUUAAUUUGACUCAACACGGGAAAACUCACCCGGCCCGGACACUGGAAGGAUUGACAGAUUGAGAGCUCUUUCUUGAUUCAGUGGGUGGUGGUGCAUGGCCGUUCUUAGUUGGUGGAGUGAUUUGUCUGGUUAAUUCCGACAACGAACGAGACUCUAGCCUACUAAAUAGAUCGUCGGCUUACAAACGCCGGCGAGACUUCUUAGAGGGACAGGCGGUGAUUCAACCGCACGAAACAGAGCAAUAACAGGUCUGUGAUGCCCUUAGAUGUCCGGGGCCGCACGCGCGCUACACUGAAGUGAUCAGCGUGCUUUUUCAACCUACUCUGUCAAGAGUGGGGAACCCAAUGAACCUUCUUCGUGAUUGGGAUAGGGGAUUGUAAUUAUUCCCCUUGAACGAGGAAUUCCCAGUAAGCGCGAGUCAUAAGCUCGCGUUGAUUACGUCCCUGCCCUUUGUACACACCGCCCGUCGCUACUACCGAUUGAACGAUUU
rnacentral:rRNA from 1 species